GGAUUUAGCUAAGUGGUAGAGCGUCUGCUUAGCAAGCGCAAGGCCCUGGGUUCGGUCCCCAGCUCCA
rnacentral:tRNA from 1 species